rnacentral:rRNA from 1 species
GAUGAACGCUAGCUACAGGCUUAACACAUGCAAGUCGAGGGGAAACGGCAUCGAAAGCUUGCUUUUGAUGGGCGUCGACCGGCGCACGGGCGAGUAACGCGUAUCCAACCUUCCCAUCACUUGGGAAUAACCUUGCGCAAGUAAGACUAAUGCCCAAUGACAUCCCACGAAGGCAUCCGAAUGGGAUUAAAGAUUUAUCGGUGAUGGAUGGGGAUGCGUCUGAUUAGCUUGUUGGCGGGGUGACGGCCCACCAAGGCAACGAUCAGUAGGGGGUCUGAGAGGAAGGGCCCCCACAGUGGAACCGAGACACGGUCCAAACUCCUACGGGACGCAGCAGUGAGGAAGAUUGGUGAAUGGACGAGAGCCUGAACCAGCCAAGUAGCGUGCAGGAUGACGGCCCUAGGGGUUGUAAACUGCGGUUAUAAGGGAAUAAAGGGCGUCACGUGUGACUUUGUGCAGGUACCUUAUGAAUAAGGACCGGCUAAUUACGUG